GAUGAACGCUGGCGGCGUGCCUAACACAUGCCAGUCGAACGGAGAUUACGGACGGAAGUUUUCGGAUGGAAGACUGUAAUUCUUAGUGGCGGACGGGUGAGUAACGCGUGGGCAACCUGCCCUAUACAGGGGGAUAGCAGCUGGAAACGGCUGGUAAGACCGCAUAAGUCGGCGAGACCGCAUGGUUUUGCCGGGAAAUGAGCAAUCAGGUAUAGGAUGGGCCCGCGUCCGAUUAGCCAGUUGGCAGGGUAAAAGCCUACCAAAGCAACGAUCGGUAGCCGGACUGAGAGGUCGGACGGCCACAUUGGGACUGAGACACGGCCCAAACUCCUACGGGAGGCAGCAGUGGGGGAUAUUGCACAAUGGAGGAAACUCUGAUGCAGCGACGCCGCGUGAGUGAAGAAGUAUUUCGGUAUGUAAAGCUCUAUCAGCAGGGAAGAUGAUGACGGUACCUGACGAAGAAGCCCCGGCUAACUACGUG
rnacentral:rRNA from 1 species